GUCAAGCAACCCUUGCAAUGUUGCUUCGGGGAUUAUGUCGGUGUCGGGAGGAAGUGUCUCCGCAGACGCCGAGGAUUCAGAAAUGAGCUCAGAUUGCACAAGCAUUAAAUAGCUUCGUGCGCCUUUGGCAAUCCUCCGUGCAGCUGCUUUAGCUGACAUCGUUUCCACCGUACUCGCAGCAUAGAGAGUGGCGGUAACGUAAUUCAUGAUGGCAAUACCAUCUAGGUGAUCGUCGUCGUCUGCUGAAGACCAAAAGGAAGGCCUG
rnacentral:lncRNA from 1 species